rnacentral:lncRNA from 1 species
AGGGGAAAAGAAGGGGGAAGCCGGGGCUUUAAAGGGACGCGAGCCGCUCGGUUCGGGAAGGUCGGGAGGGGCGGAUCUCGGUGAUGGCGCGCGGCGGUCACGCGCGGGGACGGCGGCGCGAUUCCGGGCGCCUGCCUGAGGUAGGGGACGACCCCGACAGGUGGGCCCCACCUGUCGGUGGCUCGGGCGCGCGCGAGCGGGCGGCUGGGUCGGCGGGGCUGUGGCGCGCGCGGGGGAGUUGGGCCGGUUCGGCCCAAUUCGGCCGGGCCGGUCCGUUUACCCCUUUUUUUUUUCUUUUAGACCUUUUCUUUUUUCUGUUUUUCUCAUUUCUUUGAUAUCUUUUGUGUUUGAACUCCAAAUUGGUCAAAACAAAUUCCAGAAAAUUUGUAAAAUCAUGUUCUACCAAGAUACAACUUUUGGAAGUAGUUUCUCUUCAAAAUAAAAUAUGUAAAAAUACAUUUGGCCUAUAAAUGCCUUUAGGGCCAUAUAUCUAUUUGAAUAAAAUACUUUUUCAACUCCAAAUAAUUAACCAAAAAUUUUGGGAUAGCUUAUAUAUGCAUUAAACCCCUUUUAUACAUCAACCCCAUUGGUUUGAAAAUCCAAAGGUUACAGGGAUGUAAACAAAAUCUCUUAAAGCCUUUUGUGAUUCAAAAUUUGAUUUCAAACAUGCAAUUGUGGCAUGAUGCUCAUGGAUGCAAUUCACAUGUAAAAGUUUGAAAUUUUGGGAUGUUACAACAUUCCAGUGCGCCCUAUGCGAAUGUUUGGGACCCCAGCUAGGCCACAACACGGAGGCCUACAUGGACGACAUCGUCAUCAAAUCGAUGCGGGGGGACUCGCUGGUUGAUGUCCUGCGGGAGACGUUCGACAACCUCCGCAGGAUCAAGCUCAAGCUGAACCCUGAUAAGUGCA